rnacentral:misc_RNA from 1 species
GAUCACUCCAAAGUAGCUUGGUUUGCAGGGCCUUGCCCCUAUAAGCCAAAUCUAAUGGGUUUCAGAUAUGUUGUUCAAUGGUGGGAGUCUGUUGUACAUCAUUUCAGUAAUGAUCAAAAGAUGCUGGCUGCUAUAGCUUUUUCAUGCUGGGAGAUUUGGAAGUCUAGGAACAAAGCUGUCUUUAAUAAUUGUGUUCCAAAUCCAAUGGCUUCUGUUAAGAAUAUUUUUAGGUGUGUUAACGAGUUAGAUCAGAUUACAAACUCAGCUAAUGCGACCCUUUCUUCUUCUCGUAAUGAUCUGCAGAUUCAUAGAUGGAUUCCACCUCCACAAGGGUCUAUCAAACUCAAUUCUGAUGUUGCGUGGAAAGGUGGGAAUAAAACCGCAGCAAUAGCAGAGAUAGCUCAUAAUUCACAAG